UUAUCGAGAAAAGCGGCUACCAGGCUCUUCCAUGUGUGAGAUACAUAACCAUGGCCGGCGAGUAUGAACUAAGACUUAUGUGAAAAUCUACUUCCACCUGUUGGUGUUCUCAAUCUCUACAAACUCGCAUGAUUUUGCACUUUCGUGGGCAAAAUGAGCCUAUAGGAGAGUUAAAUUGCCCCUAUCCAGACAAAUAGCUAAUUGAGCAAAUUCUUGUGCGUCCGUUUUCUUUGUUGAAGUCAUUGUUGAUUAUCAACCAGAGGUACGCAUCUUUUGGACCCGAAUAUGCCUACCCACAGGGUGUCUACAAUCCUCACAUGGGUCAGCAUUACCUUCAAAUAUAUGGCGUACCAAGCACAGUUAACACAAAUAUUGUCCCAUAUGGACAAAUGGGUCAUCCUCUCUCUGGCAACCAUGGGUAUCCAACCAUUCAGGGCUAUGUGACACCAGGUCGUCAUGUUCUGCAAUAUGGGGGACCCCUCGUUAAUGGAGUAACUACAGACACUAUUACCAUAACUCAAGCACAAUACCUUGCAGGUAACUCUCUCUCUCUCUCUC